AAUUUAAUAUGAAAACGCGGUUGCAGCUUUUCAACGCUGCAUUAAAAGGGAAUGCGGUUCAAUUCCGCAGCAGUCCCCGCUACUGUAACCGAUGACGACCCCCUCGAUAUGCCACUUUGCGGCGCAGAUUUUCUGCCGUGCAGCAUGGGAAGGCGAGGGCAUUAGAACGACUCGGAAGCCAGGAGACCUGCCGUGUUUUCGGUUUACGGU
rnacentral:ncRNA from 19 species